rnacentral:rRNA from 1 species
GUUUGAUCCUGGCUCAGAUUGAACACUGGCGGCAUGCUUUACACAUGCAAGUCGAACGGCUCCACGGGGGCAACCCUGGUGGCGAGUGGCGAACGGGUGAGUAAUAUAUCGGAACGUGUCCGGAAGUGGGGGAUAGCUCGGCGAAAGCCGGAUUAAUACCGCAUAUGCCCUGAGGGGGAAAGGAGGGGAUCCGCAAGGACCUUUCGCUUUCGGAGUGGCCGAUAUCGGAUUAGCUAGUUGGUGGGGUAAAGGCUCACCAAGGCGACGAUCCGUAGCUGGUCUGAGAGGACGACCAGCCACACUGGAACUGAGACACGGUCCAGACUCCUACGGGAGGCAGCAGUGGGGAAUUUUGGACAAUGGGGGAAACCCUGAUCCAGCCAUGCCGCGUGAGUGAAGAAGGCCUUCGGGUUGUAAAGCUCUUUCAGACGGAAAGAAACGGUUACGGCUAAUACCUGUGACUAAUGACGGUACCGUCAGAAGAAGCACCGGCUAACUACGUGCCAGCAGCCGCGGUAAUACGUAGGGUGCGAGCGUUAAUCGGAAUUACUGGGCGUAAAGCGUGCGCAGGCGGUUUUGUAAGACAGGUGUGAAAUCCCCGGGCUUAACCUGGGAACUGCAUUUGUG